GCCUCAAGUUAUGUGUGACUACCCCA
rnacentral:rRNA from 1 species